rnacentral:rRNA from 1 species
UACAGAGGGUGCGAGCGUUAAUCGGAAUUACUGGGCGUAAAGCGUGCGUAGACGGUAGCGUAAGUCAGAUGUGAAAGCCCCGGGCUCAACCUGGGAACUGCAUUUGAUACUGCUCUGCUCGGGUGCGGAAGAGGGAAGCGGAAUUUCCGGUGUAGCGGUGAAAUGCGUAGAUAUCGGAAGGAACACCAGUGGCGAAAGCGGCUUCCUGGUCCGACACUGACGUUCAGGCACGAAAGCGUGGGGAGCAAACAGG